rnacentral:lncRNA from 1 species
UUUUUGGUCCUACAUUUUUUCUUUCUUUUCCUUUUCCUCACCCUUGAAGUUCCUGCAACUUUCAUUGUUCUUGAGCGUUUCCUCCCAUCCUACAAAUUCCUUCCCUCUCUCUCUCUCUCUCGCUCUCUCUCUCUGCCUCUAUACAGAACACAGAACAUACACUCAAAAUUAUCCUAAUGGCAACAGAACCAAAGACAGACGCCAAAACAGAAGCUAAACAAGAGGCCAAAACAGAGGCUAAAGAAGUGGU